rnacentral:lncRNA from 1 species
GCUGGAGAGAACCACAGAUUAGGGGGGGCGGGGAGUCUAGAUGGAGUGACAGUGACCUCUACACUGCUAAAGGGCAAAGCCAGGCCUGGGUUGAGAGACCAGAGGCCAAGGUCUCCAAUUCACUCACUCAACAAAUGUUCAUUGACUUCAUUGAUGUGCCAGGCCCCUGGGCACCUCAGGACCCAGUAAAGAUGUGGAAUGAUGGCUUCUCAUUCACCAGAGUCCUCCUGCUCGCGUUGGAUCCCCUUACCUCCCUCCACCCGCCGCCUGCCCAGAAGGGCCCCCACAGCCCUCUUCCUCCCCAGGAGGGGCCCUCAUGCUCGCUCACUCUGCACUCACACUUGUGGGCUCGUCCCUUCCUCACACAUACAUCAUCGUCCACACCUGAGAGGCAGGUGCAGUAGGCAGGUCAUGCACCUUCUCACCUCUGCAGCUGCAGUCUCUCACUGGGCUCUUGAAAUGGCCUCUUCCACCCUCUCAGCCGAAUCCAGUCCAUUUUAUCUGCCAAUCCUGCAGCACAGGUCCAGUUGUGUCCAACCUCCCAGGGGCGCUCCCCUGCAGUUAAUUAGGACACGUGCUGACACUGCACUCAGG